GAUGAACGCUGGCGGCGUGCCUAAUACAUGCAAGUCGAGCGAAUGGAUUAAGAGCUUGCUCUUAUGAAGUUAGCGGCGGACGGGUGAGUAACACGUGGGUAACCUGCCCAUAAGACUGGGAUAACUCCGGGAAACCGGGGCUAAUACCGGAUAACAUUUUGAACCGCCUGGUUGGAAAUUGAAAGGCGGCUUCGGCUGUCACUUAUGGAUGGACCCGCGUCGCAUUAGCUAGUUGGUGAGGUAACGGCUCACCAAGGCAACGAUGCGUAGCCGACCUGAGAGGGUGAUCGGCCACACUGGGACUGAGACACGGCCCAGACUCCUACGGGAGGCAGCAGUAGGGAAUCUUCCGCAAUGGACGAAAGUCUGACGGAGCAACGCCGCGUGAGUGAUGAAGGCUUUCGGGUCGUAAAACUCUGUUGUUAGGGAAGAACAAGUGCUAGUUGAAUAAGCUGACACCUUGACGGUACCUAACCAGAAAGCCACGGCUAACUACGUGCCAGCAGCCGCCGUA
rnacentral:rRNA from 1 species